rnacentral:rRNA from 1 species
GGCCUACGGGACGCAGCAGUGAGGAAUAUUGGUCAAUGGUCGGGAGACUGAACCAGCCAAGCCGCGUGAGGGAUGAAGGUACAGAGUAUCGUAAACCUCUUUUGUCAGGGAACAAAGGCGGGGACGCGUGCCCGGAUGAGUGUACCUGAAGAAAAAGCAUCGGCUAACUCCGUGCCAGCAGCCGCGGUAAUACGGAGGAUGCGAGCGUUAUCCGGAUUUAUUGGGUUUAAAGGGUGCGCAGGCGGAAUGUUAAGUCAGCGGUCAAAGUUCGGGGCUCAACCCCGGCUCGCCGUUGAAACUGGCAG